rnacentral:rRNA from 1 species
AGCAGCCGCGGUAAUUCCAGCUCCAAUAGCGUAUAUUAAAGUUGUUGCAGUUAAAAAGCUCGUAGUUGAAUUUCGGGAUCAGUAGGUCGGUCAUGCCUCUGGUAUGUACUGGCCUCACUGGUUCCUCCUUCCUGAUGAACCGUAAUGCCAUUAAUUUGGUGUUGCGGGGAAACUGGACUGUUACUUUGAAAAAAUUAGAGUGUUUAAAGCAGGCUAACGCUUGAAUACAUUAGCAUGGAAUAAUGAAAUAGGACGAUCGAUCCUAUUUUGUUGGUUUCUAGGAUUGACGUAAUGAUUAAUAGGGAUAGUUGGGGGCAUUAGUAUUCAAUUGUCAGAGGUGAAAUUCUUGGAUUUAUUGAAGACUAACUACUGCGAAAGCAUUUGCCAAGGAUGUUUUCAUUAAUCAAGAACGAAAGUUAGGGGAUCGAAGACGAUCAGAUACCGUCGUAGUCUUAACCAUAAACUAUGCCGACUAGGGAUCGGAUGAUGUUAAUUUUAUAAUGACUCAUUCGGCGCCUUACG